UACGUAGGGGGCAAGCGUUGUCCGGAAUCAUUGGGCGUAAAGCGCGUGUAGGCGGCCCGGUAAGUCCGCUGUGAAAGUCGGGGGCUCAACCCUCGAAUGCCGGUGGAUACUGUCGGGCUAGAGUACGGAAGAGGCGAGUGGAAUUCCUGGUGUAGCGGUGAAAUGCGCAGAUAUCAGGAGGAACACCAAUUGCGAAAGGCAGCUCGCUGGGACGUGACUGACGCUGAGACGCGAAAGCGUGGGGAGCAAACAGGA
rnacentral:rRNA from 1 species